UACGUAGGGUGCAAGCGUUAAUCGGAAUUACUGGGCGUAAAGCGUGCGCAGGCGGUUAUGCAAGACAGAUGUGAAAUCCCCGGGCUCAACCUGGUAACUGCAUUUGUGACUGCAUGGCUAGAGUACGGUAGAGGGGGAUGGAAUUCCGCGUGUAGCAGUGAAAUGCGUAGAUAUGCGGAGGAACACCGAUGGCGAAGGCAAUCCCCUGGACCUGUACUGACGCUCAUGCACGAAAGCGUGGGGAGCAAACAGG
rnacentral:rRNA from 1 species